rnacentral:rRNA from 1 species
GAUGAACGCUGGCGGCGUGCUUAACACAUGCAAGUCGAACGGGAAUUAUUUUAUUGAAACUUCGGUCGAUUUAAUUUAAUUCUAGUGGCGGACGGGUGAGUAACGCGUGGGUAACCUGCCUUAUACAGGGGGAUAACAGUCAGAAAUGGCUGCUAAUACCGCAUAAGCGCACAGAGCUGCAUGGCUCAGUGUGAAAAACUCCGGUGGUAUAAGAUGGACCCGCGUUGGAUUAGCUGGUUGGUGGGGUAACGGCCCACCAAGGCGACGAUCCAUAGCCGGCCUGGGAGGGUGAACGGCCACAUUGGGACUGAGACACGGCCCAGACUCCUACGGGAGGCAGCAGUGGGGAAUAUUGCACAAUGGGGGAAACCCUGAUGCAGCGACGCCGCGUGAAGGAAGAAGUAUCUCGGUAUGUAAACUUCUAUCAGCAGGGAAGAUAGUGACGGUACCUGACUAAGAAGCCCCGGCUAACUACGUG